GGUGAAAUCCAUGAAUGCAGCCAGAAGAAAACUGAAAACAGAAGCACGCAUACAAGAACAAAGAUCAUCAAUAUGGGCUCCAUUGCUAGUCGCCUGAUCACUAGGCAGCACCAAAUGUUGAGGAAGGCUUGUUGUUUAUGCAUCGAAGCAAGAAGAACAAACAAAUUGAUGGAUGCUUUGCUUUGAUAAGAUCGGACUUCAACUCUGGCUCUGAAACGUGUCAAAUCUUUGGUUGGAGAGUGCAGAAGGGGAUUUAGUCCUACUUAUACUUCAAGAGCUAAUUGUUCUAUACAGGAAAAGACUAGAGAAAUCAACGACCCAUCAAUUAUUUCACAAAGACCUAAAUUUCUUGUCAGCAUGUGACAAUUA